rnacentral:lncRNA from 1 species
UAGUCCAUCCUACUCCUUCCCCUUUGGUAAUCACUAGUCUGUUCUCCAUGUCUGUGAGUCUUUUUCUGUUCUGUAGAUAGGCUCAUCUGUGCCAAUGCUUUUUUUUUUUUUUUUUUUUUUGUCUUUUUAGGGCCACACCCAUAGCAUAUGAAGGUUCCCAGGCUAGGGGUCAAAUCAGAGCUGUAGCCACCCGCCUACACCACAGCCACAGCAGCCAGAUCCAAGCCAUGUCUGCAACCUACACCACAGCUCCUGGCAAUGCUGGAUCCUUAACCCACUGAGCAAGGCCAGGGAUCGAACCUGCAUCUUCAUGGAUCCUAGUCGGAUUUGUUUCUGCUGAGCCACGAGGCCAGCACCCAUCUCUGCCACAUUCUAGAUUCCACAUAUAAUAGCUCCUUGCCAUCUGCUUCUCCAACUUCAGCUUCAGGAACCUACUUUGGUUUUCAGGUGACCAAGAAAAUUUCUCCCUUUCUCAAAAGAAGAGUCAACCACACAGCUUACGUGCCUCACCAAGGAAUUCAUCUGAAUUUCUAGAUCUCUUGCUUACUUAGAGACAGAACUCAAUUAAUUAUGUGCCAAUUAGUUAUUAGUUGCCUAAGAAAUUGCAAAAGACUAUGCCCCAGGCUUUGAUGGAGCACAGUUUCUUAGUGCAGUUUCUCAAAAUAUAAAUCAAGGGCAAAGGUUUAUAAUCAAAUUUCAUAAGUUUAGAAAUCAGUUUUGCUUUGAAAUCAACAUAAUUUGAUCUCAGGCAUUUCUUGGGACUAGAGGAAACAUUUUUACUUCAUGUUGUUUGCCUAAAAAGAAGAGUCAAAAAAACAAAAACUCUCUGGAAGAUCUACAUUCCCCAGAUUCAUCUUAACUAGUGAAGAUGAACGAAAACAUCUGUCCAGUCCCCUCUUUAAAGAUCUUCGUAGGAGGAAUUCUGGGCAUGUGAAAGGAGUCAAGGUCACAGUGUAGGCCUCCGUCUACCAUCCUGCCAGGUCUGCAAGGAACUCAGGGCGUUGCAAGGAACUCAGUUCUGGCGUCCUGCUAAGGAUAAGUAGAAGGCAUUGACUCUUCACUAUGUGGUUGCUUUCAACAAAAUUUAUGAGAAAGCAAAAGGAAGUUUCUAAACUACUGCCAGAUGGCAAGAACUUGGAGCACUGAAAUGAGACUAAAACCCAAUCAGAAAGAAGCAUAACCUAUUUAGGACAAGACAUCCGGGCCUCUUGUGAAACUGAAGCAUUUCCAAAUCUUCUGUAAAGACAUAAAGUCUGACCAGACAAAAUUAUUUCCUAGGUGUAACAUUCAGAAAUCAAAGUCAUACCUGAGUGACAACAGUCUCCCAUUUGCUGUCUGUUCUUUGUUCUUAAGUGAGUUUCUUCUCUGUUGAAGCUGCUUUUGAAGUAUCCUUUUCCCUAUCUUGGGGACAGAUCAACUGGCAUCGUCACCCUUCUGGUACAAAUGAUGGCUUUUCAAAAUAUACCCUUGUAAGAUAGCUGUGUAUGUGCCUAGUUUAGUCCAUUGUCUUUUUUUCUAUUGUCAUUGUAGCCACUUUUGGGGUUAUUUUUUAAAAGUCUUCUAACAGUUUUACUUACCUGUACUCACCCCUUACUUUGGUACUUUAUGAACAGAGACAUUUUUAAAACAAACAAGUCAAAAGAGAUUUUAGGCAUUUUCAAGUUUGCCUAUAUAUAGCAGUGGUUUUUAUCUAACAUAGAGCC